GGCGGGGCCGAGGCCCGGCGGGCCCCAACGCCUCCCCUUCCCCUUCCCGUUCCUCCCGGCGGGACGGCGAGGGGCUGAGGGAGCCAUGCGCGGCGGCGGCGGUGAGGAGGCGUCGGGCGGGCGACGGUAGCGGCCAUGGGCGGCCCCGGGGGGCUGCGGGAGGUUCGGCGGCUGUGCCACUGGGGGCCGCUGGUGGCCCUGUCCGUGGUGAUCGUGUGCUCCGCCACCGCCAUCGCGGACGCCGUGCUGUGGUACUGGCCCCUGGACACGGCCGGGGGGAGCGUCAACUUCAUCAUGCUCCUGAACUGGACCGUCAUGAUUCUCUACAAUUACUUUAACGCCAUGUUUGUCGGCCCCGGGUACGUCCCGCUGGGGUGGACACCGGAAAAAUCUCAGGAUUGCAUGUAUCUCCAGUACUGUAAAGUAUGUCAGUCUUACAAGGCACCACGUUCACACCACUGUCGAAAGUGUAACAGAUGUGUCAUGAAGAUGGAUCACCAUUGUCCUUGGAUCAACAACUGUUGUGGUUACCAGAAUCAUGCAUCUUUCACUUUGUUUCUCUUCUUAGCACCACUGGGAUGCAUUCAUGCAUCUUUCAUAUUUGUAAUGACUAUGUAUACUCAGCUUUACAACAGAAUAUCUUUUGGGUGGAGUUCUGUAAAAAUUGACAUGAGUGCAGCCAAAAGAGACCCUCGAACCAUUAUUCCCUUUGGACUGUCUGCAUUUGCUGCAUCUUUAUUUGCCUUAGGACUGGCGUUAGGAACAACAAUUGCUGUUGGUAUGCUGUUUAUUAUUCAGAUGAAAGUCAUUUUGACAAAUAAAACUUCAAUCGAGUCCUGGAUUGAAGAAAAGGCCAAAGACAGAAUCCAGUACUACCAAACAGAUGAAACCUUUAUUUUUCCUUAUGAUACGGGAAGUAAAUGGAAGAACUUCAAACAAGUGUUUACGUGGUCUGGGAUUCCUGAGGGAGAUGGCCUGGACUGGCCAGUAAGAGAAGGCUGUCAUCGAUACAGUUUGACGAUAGAGCAACUGAAACAGAAAGCAGACAAGCGAGUAAGAAGUGUGCGGUAUAGAGCCAUAGAAGAUUACAGUGGUGUCUGCUGCCCUGUGACUAAAGGUGUUAAAACAUUCUUCACAACACCAUGUACUGAAGAACCUAGAAUUGCACUGAGUAAAGGGGAUCUGAUUUUAGCCACAAGAGGCUUAAAACACUGGAUGUAUGGUGAGAAGAUUCUUAACUCAGCUGGUGAUGAAAUUUGGCUGAAGUACUGACAUAAGCAAAAGUGUUUGCUACAUCUCCAGAAAGGAGAAGAUCAGCUGUAGAGGAUUGUGUGGAAAACAGUGAGAAUACUUGGAGCGCUAGAAAAUUGGACCUAUAUGGAAAAGCUGAAGGAGUUGAGGUUCCUUAACUGGAGAGGAAAAAGAGAUAGCAGAAAGCCAGGGUGGAAUAAGAGAACGAGGCUGGUUCCCUAGGAAAUGUGUGGAAAAAUGCCAAUAUGACUCUGAAACGGAUCAACCAGUGGAUGGAGAGAAGAAAAGCAGAUAGCCUUCUCAUUUUUUUUAACAAGAAAUUGAGUUUUUUACUUCGGACCAUAAUCUCUUACUUGAAAUUUUCUGUAUAUUACUUUAGACUUAUGCAAUGACUAUGUUGGAGCAAGAUUUUCUUUUCCUCACAGUUGAAAGGGUUGGAUAUGCCUGUGCCAUGGUUUGCAUUCUUUUUUGACAAUAAAUAAUUGAAGAAGCCAUUCAGUGGAUUGCCUUCAAGAUGCAUCUUUCUCAUCCCAAGUCAGGUUUCUAUUCUUUCUGCUGUUUAAACUGCAUUCUAAGGAGCCAUCUUUUAGUUUUCUUCCACAACUGCAUCUGUUGUGAUGCGUGACACAUCUCUCUCGUAUUUUACUUUCUUUGAAGCUGCCCCCUGAAAAAUACAAAAUAAAUCUCUAAUUCAGAUUCAAGAUAUGAUUUGUUACCCGUGACUUUUAAUGAUGUGAAUUAUCCACCUCAAAUAAAUAAUAUGUUCAUAUUUA